CAUUACAGCAGUGCAUAGAAACUGAGUCAGAGACUCAAAGAAAGAGACAGAACUGCACAGAACCACUGCAGCUCAACAAUCAAAAAUUCUUAAGUAGAAAAAAGCACAAAGCCCUGACCACUCAUCCCUAGAGGAUACAACCCAGACCAGACAACCCCAAGGGGGAACCCAUCCUUCCCCCACAGACCCUGCAGCAGGACGGCAACUUGCCAUAGGUGUGGAUAUCCCCAGGCAUGCGGACGCAGAGGCAGUUUUGGUGCCCUCAAGCUGCCACAGCAUCUGCCAGCAUUACAGUGAUUUACACAUUGCCGGUGGCCAGGUGCUGCCACUCAGGCCCAGCACAUUGGAGGUACAGGGCAAUCUCAUUCAGGACCCUGAGCAUGGGCCCUUCCUCCUGUCUGGGGAUGUUCCCUUCCCCUCCCUCCUGCCUCCUCUGGUCCACGGGAACAGGAAUUCAAGAUUCGGUCAUCACUCUGAGGAACCAGCCUGUGUUUCAACUUCAACAUCCCAGCAGUGAGAGCCAGAGUCAAAGCCCUGUGAGCACACAACACAUGCG